GCGUGGGUAGCAAACAGGAUUAGAUACCCUGGUAGUCCACGCCCUAAACGAUGUCAACUAGGUGUUGGGUGGGUAAAACCAUUUAGUACCGGAGCUAACGCGUGAAGUUGACCGCCUGGGGAGUACGGCCGCAAGGUUAAAACUCAAAGGAAUUGACGGGGACCCGCACAAGCGGUGGAUGAUGUGGAUUAAUUCGAUGCAACGCGAAAAACCUUACCUACCCUUGACAUGCCAGGAACUUGCCAGAGAUGGCUUGGUGCCCGAAAGGGAGCCUGGACACAGGUGCUGCAUGGCUGUCGUCAGCUCGUGUCGUGAGAUGUUGGGUUAAGUCCCGCAACGAGCGCAACCCUUGUCGUUAAUUGCCAUCAUUUGGUUGGGCACUUUAACGAGACUGCCGGUGACAAACCGGAGGAAGGUGGGGAUGACGUCAAGUCCUCAUGGCCCUUAUGGGUAGGGCUUCACACGUCAUACAAUGGUCGGUACAGAGGGUUGCCAAGCCGCGAGGCGGAGCCAAUCCCAGAAAGCCGAUCGUAGUCCGGAUCGUAGGCUGCAACUCGCCUGCGUGAAGUCGGAAUCGCUAGUAAUCGCGGAUCAGCAUGUCGCGGUGAAUACGUUCCCGGGUCUUGUACACACCGCCCGUCACACCAUGGGAGCGGGUUCCGCCAGAAGUAGGUAGCCUAACCGCAGAGGGGGGCGCU
rnacentral:rRNA from 1 species